rnacentral:rRNA from 1 species
UAGGGAAUCUUCCGCAAUGGACGCAAGUCUGACGGAGCAACGCCGCGUGAGUGAAGAAGGAUUUCGGUUCGUAAAACUCUGUUGUUAGAGAAGAACAGCGCAUAGAGUAACUGUUAUGCGUGUGACGGUAUCUAACCAGAAAGCCGCGGCUAACUACGUGCCAGCAGCCGCGGUAAUACGUAGGAGGCAAGCGUUGUCCGGAUUUAUUGGGCGUAAAGCGAGCGCAGGCGGUCAAUUAAGUCUGAUGUGAAAGCCCCCGGCUCAACCGGGGAGGGUCAUUGGAAACUGGUUGACUUGAGUGCAGAAGAGGAGAGUGGAAUUCCAUGUGUAGCGGUGAAAUGCGUAGAUAUAUGGAGGAACACCAGUGGCGAAGGCGACUCUCUGGUCUGUAACUGACGCUGAGGCUCGAAAGCGUGGGUAGCAAACAGG